UGCUCGAGUGGCGAACGGGUGAGUAACACGUGAGUAACCUGCCCUUGACUUUGGGAUAACUUCAGGAAACUGGGGCUAAUACCGGAUAGGAGCUCCUGCUGCAUGGUGGGGGUUGGAAAGUUUCGGCGGUUGGGGAUGGACUCGCGGCUUAUCAGCUUGUUGGUGGGGCAGUGGCUUACCAAGGCUUUGACGGGUAGCCGGCCUGAGAGGGUGACCGGCCACAUUGGGACUGAGAUACGGCCCAG
rnacentral:rRNA from 1 species